GGGUCAGUAGGUUGGUCGUGCCACCGGUACGUACUGGUCUCACUGAUUCCUCCUUCCUGAAGAACCGUAAUGCCAUUAAUUUGGUGUUGUGGGGAAACAGGACUGUUACUUUGAAAAAAUUAGAGUGGUUAAAGCAAGCUAACGCUUGAAUACAUUAGCAUGGAAUAAUGAAAUAGGACGAUCGAUCCUAUUUUGUUGGUUUCUGGGAUUGACGUA
rnacentral:rRNA from 1 species